UACCAGCACCCCGAGUGGUCGGGGCGUUUAUUGGGCCUAAAGCAUCCGUAGCCGGUUCUACAAGUCUUCCGUUAAAUCCACCUGCUUAACAGAUGGGCUGCGGAAGAUACUAUAGAGCUAGGAGGCGGGAGAGGCAAGCGGUACUUAGUGGGUAGGGGUAAAAUCCGUUGAUCCAGUGAAGACCACCAGUGGCGAAGGCGGCUUGCCAGAACGCACUCGACGGUGAGGGAUGAAAGCUGGGGGAGCAAACCGG
rnacentral:rRNA from 1 species